AGACAAGGCAAGUGAAUUGAGCAAGUCGCUUGAAUCGAACGCGAAUGGAACGUGUAAACACCUUAAUUCAAUUCACUUGAACGAAAAGAAAGUUGAACAUGUUCAACUUUUGGCAAGUCAAUUGAAUUCAACUGAGUUGUUCAAUUCACUUGCCCUGUCAAAACGUAGCAAUACUUUCGAUUAGGUAUGAAAAUGAAAACAAACAUGGCGAUGGAAUAUUGCGAAAAUGUUAUCGUGCUGUUUCGGCGUGCUUUGCAGAAAGACUUUCACUGUCGGAUGCAGUCGAAUUGCAGCCAAGCACAUACCCACAAACAAAUAACUAAAUGGAUCCGAUUGAGCAUUCAGAUAAAAGUUGAGACAAUCUGUAUGUUCAAGUGCGUCAUGAUUACAUCGAAAAAUCGAAGGCGGUGCAAGUAACAUCUAUUGAGGAUGAUGCUGCCGCUGUUUUAGACAAACUCCAGCGGAUCUAUUCGCACUGCCCAUCCUGUUGCAUGCGUCAGGCCCAAUUGAAGCGCUCUGAUUAUGAUGAUUCCGCCGAGAUCAGAUUAUCGACGUUAUGAAACGGUAGCAGCAUAUAACGGCAGUAGCAGCGGCUUCAGAACUCACCGAACUGGUGGCUGUGUUUAACAGCGGCAUCCUAGUUCCCGAUGGCUGAUACUACCCGGACAAUGACUAAGCAGGUUGGCGCAGUAGCAGUGUCAAUCGGCAGCUGAAAGAGAAUUUCAACACGACCAAAUGGAUCAGGACAAUGUACAUGGUACAAGUAGUUUUCCAGCGGCUGGGCAAGAAGUGAAACCUGAAAUUAAACAUCCGUAAAUCAUAGACUUAAUGAAAACAAAAUAAAUUUAAAAAAAAACAAAGCCUGCUUAGAUUUAUUCUGGAUGCAAGGAAAAUAAGGUGUAUUAUUUAUAAUAAU